rnacentral:rRNA from 1 species
GACGUAGGGCGCGAGCGUUGUCCGGAUUUAUUGGGCGUAAAGAGCUCGUAGGCGGCUUGUCACGUCGGAUGUGAAAGCCCGGGGCUUAACUCCGGGUCUGCAUUCGAUACGGGCUAGCUAGAGUGUGGUAGGGGAGAUCGGAAUUCCUGGUGUAGCGGUGAAAUGCGCAGAUAUCAGGAGGAACACCGGUGGCGAAGGCGGAUCUCUGGGCCAUUACUGACGCUGAGGAGCGAAAGCGUGGGGAGCGAACAGG